CCUACGGGGGACAGCAGUAGGGAAUAUUGCUCAAUGGGGGAAACCCUGAAGCAGCAACGCCGCGUGGAGGAUGAAGGUUUUCGGAUUGUAAACUCCUUUUGUUAGAGAAGAUAAUGACGGUAUCUAACGAAUAAGCACCGACUAACUCCGUGCCAGCAGCCGCGGUAAUACGGAGGGUGCAAGCGUUACUCGGAAUCACUGGGCGGAAAGAGCGCGUAGGCGGGAUAGCAAGUCAGAUGUGAAAUCCUAUGGCUUAACCAUAGAACUGCAUUUGAAACUGUUAUUCUAGAGUAUGGGAGAGGUAGGUGGAAUUCUUGGUGUAGGGGUAAAAUCCGUAGAGAUCAAGAGGAAUACUCAUUGCGAAGGCGACCUGCUAGAACAUAACUGACGCUGAUGCGCGAAAGCGUGGGGAGCAAACAGGAUUAGAUACCCCAGUAGUC
rnacentral:rRNA from 1 species